rnacentral:rRNA from 1 species
UACAGGGGGGGCAAGCGUUGUUCGGAAUACUGGGCGUAAAGGGCUCGUAGGUGGCCAACUAAGUCAGACGUGAAAUCCCUCAGCUUAACUGGGGAACUGCGUCUGAUACUGGAUGGCUUGAGUUUGGGAGAGGGAUGCGGAAUUCCAGGUGUAGCGGUGAAAUGCGUAGAUAUCUGGAGGAACACCGGUGGCGAAGGCGGCAUCCUGGACCAAUACUGACACUGAGGAGCGAAAGCCAGGGGAGCAAACGGG